rnacentral:snRNA from 1 species
GGAUGUAAGGAUGAUCUGGCUGUGAUAUCUGUCACCCCAUUGAUGACCAGAGUUGAUUGGACUGACCUGGCUGGCUAGGUGGGUGUCCCCUUCGUCCUUCACAGCUCCAUGUGCGCCCCUUCUGAAGCUGCGUGCUGGCCUUCCCUGAGUAGAGACAGACCAGUCUUUGGUAGCUGCGCUCCCCUGCUAGAGCCUCCAAACAAGCUCGCAAGGUCCUAAACCACACUCCAGGUUCUAGCUGAUUUAAGUUCCAAUUACACUCCAUGUUUUAAUCUCU